rnacentral:rRNA from 1 species
CUCAGGAUGAACGCUAGCGACAGGCUUAACACAUGCGAAGUCGAGGGGCAGCAUAAAAGUAGCAAUACUUGGUGGCGACCGGCGCACGGGUGAGUAACGCGUAUGCAACCUACCUAUCAGAGGGGAAUAACCCGGCGAAAGUCGGACUAAUACCGCAUAAAACAGGGACACCGCAUGGUGAUAUUUGUUAAAGAAAUUCGCUGAUAGAUGGGCAUGCGUUCCAUUAGGUAGUUGGUGAGGUAACGGCUCACCAAGCCGACGAUGGAUAGGGGAACUGAGAGGUUGGUCCCCCACAUUGGUACUGAGACACGGACCAAACUCCUACGGGAGGCAGCAGUGAGGAAUAUUGGUCAAUGGGCGAGAGCCUGAACCAGCCAAGUAGCGUGAAGGAUAGAAGGUCCUAUGGAUUGUAAACUUCUUUUAUAGUAGAAUAAAGUGAGCCACGUGUGGUUUUUUGUAUGUAUACUAUGAAUAAGGAUCGGCUAACUCCGUGCCAGCAGCUGC